rnacentral:rRNA from 1 species
AACUCGCCUACAUGAAGUCGGAAUUGCUAGUAAUCGCGGAUCAGCAUGCCGCGGUGAAUACGUUCCGGGCCUUGUACACACCGCCCGUCACACCAUGGGAGUCGGUAACACCCGAAGCCUGUAGUCUAACCGCAAGGAGGACGCAGUCGAAGGUGGGAUUGAUGACUGGGGUGAAGUCGUAACAAGGUAGC